UGGGCCGGCCUGAACUAUUUAUUCGGAUCAAGUAUUGGGCUGGCCCAAAUUUAAAACCUCCAAAUGUUUGCAGGAAAAACAGGGAAAAUAUGGUGUCGUGAUCAUGGACGUCAAGAAUUAAUCAUAUAGAAGAUUCAACACUUAUUCUAACGAUUGUUACGGGCUUGUAGACUCAAUGGAUCAGUAGUUUGCCUUGUCUUAGCCUUAGAUUUAUCUUUGGUUCGCAUACAAAACAAAUCCAAGUUUUCCAUUAAAAAGAAAAGUCAAGAUUACAAGAUUUGGAAGACUGGUAUGUUAUCCUAUAUCUACCCCUGAGAGAGAGAGAGAGCUGAUAUAUCAAGAAUCUAGAAUUCCAAACUCUUGCUUCACAUGCGAUCUUAGGAUGAGCUGAAGCUGGGCCCUUGUCACCAAAUGGCUGCAAAAGAUGAGUAAAAUAACAAAAAUUUGGAAACCAAGCAUCCAGAGUUGCAAAUGAAGAAUCUUGACAAGUUAAUUAUACUCGCCAAGAAGUGGUGUCCCCAAUGCAUCUCCAAACAGUGCCGAUCUUUAAAGAACUGAGCCAAAGAACCCGUUGAUCAAUCAAAAAUGCAAGAAUCACAAAAGAAAAAUCAUGACAAGUGGAUUAUGCUUUCCAAGAAGUGGUGCCCCAGUCCUCUUCCAAAUAGUGCCGAUCUUUAAAGAACUGAGCCAAAGAACCCUUUGAUCAAUCGUAAACACAAGAAUUGCAAAGAAAGGCGCGAUAGAGAGAGUGAGAGAUAAGAGACCUGAUUCUGGUGAUAUUUAUAAAAGGCAUCCAGUUGUUGUACUACGAAACCCAUGUUAUGCGAGGAGGUGAAGCGCUCAAAGCGAGGUCUAGAAGAAGCACCACAGGGACCAAGAAGGAGAUCCUGGCACUAGCAGUAAUGAUGGUGGAGGAUCAGGGUAGCGGAUCAUUAAUACAUUAAUGUAACAUAAAAAUCAUUAGAAUCCUUGAUAAUUAUUCUUUGUUAUUUAAAAUUGGAUGCUUUUUAUGAUUGUUUCAAGAAUUGUGGACUAAUCAUACUCCAAUCUACAAAAAUCUUAUAUAUUUGCAGUUAACAAGUUUGUAAUGUGCAAGCCUUGAGUCUUUAUUUUGAGGUUUUCAUACGAAAUGCAUGCAGACCGGAUGUACGCUGGACACGGAUCAUACAAGAUUAAAAGCCAAAGAGAUAGAGUUGAGAGAUGAGAUAAGAUUUUGAGAUGAGAUGAGGGAGAUUUUCGAUGAAUUAAAAGAUUAAAAGGUAGUGAGACCCAUAGCUUUUAAAAGUGAGAGACGAAACCUUUACGUAAGGGAGUGCUAGGCGCGUGGCUUGCACAGAGACUGAACGCGGCCACAGGCUUAUGCACGGCGUGGACCCACGAAGAGCGCAUGAUGUGCUUUUGGAUGUGGGCCUUGCGCGCUGACGCGAGGACUUGGGCGCUGCACCCGGAGCCUGGACUUGGGGUGCGGCUUGGGCACACAUGCGGAGGAAAGAAGCAGGCGGAUGUGCAUGGCUGGGUGUUGUAUGCGGCAACGAAGGAAAGCAAGCAAACAGACGUCCGGGAUUCAAGAAAAAGAAAAGAAAAUAAUUAUUUUUAAAAAUUUUAAAAAAGUUUGGAUUGGAAAAUCCUUUUCCCGAUUGUCUUACCCUUGAUCUUCAAUCUUAUCCAUCCAUCUCUUAGUCUUUAUUCCUUUCAUCAGUCCCAC
rnacentral:lncRNA from 1 species